UACGGAGGGUGCAAGCGUUAUCCGGAAUCAUUGGGUUUAAAGGGUGCGCAGGCGGGGCUUUAAGUCAGUGGUGAAAUCCCUUCGCUUAACGAAGGAACUGCCAUUGAUACUGAAGCUCUUGAAUUUAGUUGGCGUGGGCGGAGUGUGCCAUGUAGCGGUGAAAUGCUUAGAUAUGGCACAGAACACCGAUCGCGAAGGCAGCUCACGAAACUAAUAUUGACGCUCAGGCACGAAAGCAUGGGGAGCAAACAGG
rnacentral:rRNA from 1 species